rnacentral:rRNA from 1 species
UACGUAGGGUGCGAGCGUUGUCCGGAAUUAUUGGGCGUAAAGAGCUCGUAGGCGGUGUGUCGCGUCGGCCGUGAAAACCUGGGGCUUAACUCCGGGCGUGCGGUCGAUACGGGCAUCACUAGAGUUCGGCAGGGGAGACUGGAAUUCCUGGUGUAGCGGUGAAAUGCGCAGAUAUCAGGAGGAACACCGGUGGCGAAGGCGGGUCUCUGGGCCGAUACUGACGCUGAGGAGCGAAAGCAUGGGUAGCGAACAGG